rnacentral:rRNA from 1 species
GACGAAGGGGGCUAACGUUGCUCGGAAUUACUGGGCGUAAAGCGCGUGUAGGCGGUUGUUCAAGUCAGGUGUGAAAGCCUUGAGCUCAACUCAAGAAAUGCACUUGAUACUGGAUGACUAGAGGACCGGAGAGGAUAGUGGAAUUCCCAGUGUAGUGGUGAAAUACGUAGAGAUUGGGAAGAACACCAGUGGCGAAGGCGGCUAUCUGGACGGUUUCUGACGCUAAGACGCGAAAGCGUGGGGAGCAAACAGG